CUGAAUGCUUUAAAAAUGCAUGCAGAAUUAAACCUUCAGAAGUUUAUUAUAUUGCUCACAGGCAUAUGUCAUUCUCCCUACUGGAAAUAUACCUCUUUUCUCAUGAGAGUUAUAGGGCAAUCUUGAGUCUGUUAUCCCCAUUCUGCUCUUUGUGCCCAUAUAGAGAUGGUACUUCUUGAAAUUAAUUUUGCUAAAGUUAUUUUUCUUACCUUUAAAAACAAUUAGAGAAAUGUAUCAUAAAGUUUGAACCAUCAGCAUCAAACCUGAACUGAGCCCUAGGACAUUCUUUGCCACAGUGAACUUUUUCUUAGCUUUCCAACCAAAUGUGGGAUUUUAAUUAUUUAAAUGUAAAAUAUGAAUGCACUUUUCUUCACAGAUGAAGCAGGAAGCAUGAGACAAUAUAAGACUCUUCCUUUUUCUUUCUUUCUAGUUGAUCCCUAAGAAACUAUUUCUCUUAUGAGAAAAAACAGCCCACAGAAGAUUUUCUUCCCUUGGCAAUUGAUGUUUUUUUGUUCUUCUUCGUUUUUCCUUUUUCCAGAAUUAGUUUUUCAUAGUACAAGGUAAUAAAUCCAUUUUUUCCAGAAGUGCCUUGUGUCUGCAAAAAAGUUUCUUGGCAGCACUGGAAGAAGCUAAUCAGAGACCUCUUUUUACCUUUCUACCUUCCCCUCCUCCCUACCCCUCAAAGCUGAGGUGCAUUACUGGUGAACUAAGACUGAUGAAGAAACCUGAGCACUCUCUGGGACAUUCAGCUCUAAUUGAAACACUGAGGCUUGUUCUGAGAUUCAUGGACAGAGUUUAACAGAUGCUGGAAAGGUCAUCUGCUUGCUGGAGCCAGGGCUGCAGAUUCCUUAAUUCCAAGCCAUGAAUGAAUCCAGGUGGACUGAAUGGAGGCUCUUGAAUGUGAGCAGCGGCAAUGGGAAUGUGUCUGAGCGUCACUCCUGCCCACUUGGAUUUGGCCACUACAGUGUGGUAGAUGUCUGCAUCCUUGAGACAGUGGUUAUUGUCUUGUUGACAUUUUUAAUCAUUGCUGGGAAUUUAACAGUCAUUUUUGUCUUUCACUGUGCUCCUCUGUUACAUCAUUAUACUACCAGCUAUUUCAUACAGACGAUGGCAUAUGCUGAUCUCUUCGUUGGAGUUAGCUGCUUGGUCCCUACUCUCUCACUUCUCCACUACUCCACAGGUGUCCAUGAGUCACUGACUUGCCAGGUUUUUGGAUAUAUCAUCUCAGUUCUAAAAAGCGUUUCGAUGGCAUGUCUUGCUUGCAUUAGUGUGGAUCGCUAUCUUGCAAUAACCAAGCCUCUUUCCUACAAUCAACUGGUCACCCCUUGUCGCCUGAGAAUUUGCAUUGUUUUGAUCUGGAUCUACUCCUGCCUAAUUUUCUUGCCUUCCUUUUUUGGCUGGGGGAAACCUGGUUACCAUGGUGACAUUUUUGAAUGGUGUGCCACCUCUUGGCUCACCAGUGCCUAUUUUACUGGUUUUAUUGUUUGUUUACUUUAUGCUCCUGCUGCCUUGGUUGUCUGCUUCACUUACUUUCAC
rnacentral:lncRNA from 1 species